UACGUAGGCAGCGAGCGUUGUUCGGAGUUACUGGGCGUAAAGAGCGUGUAGGCGGUUCGAUAAGUCGGCUGUGAAAGUCCAGGGCUCAACCCUGGGAUGCCGGUCGAAACUGUCGGACUAGAGUUCGGAAGAGGCGAGUGGAAUUCCCGGUGUAGCGGUGAAAUGCGCAGAUAUCGGGAGGAACACCGAUUGCGAAGGCAGCUCGCUGGGACGUCACUGACGCUGAGACGCGAAAGCGUGGGGAGCAACAGG
rnacentral:rRNA from 1 species